rnacentral:rRNA from 1 species
UACGAAGGGAGCUAGCGUUGUUCGGAAUCACUGGGCGUAAAGCGCACGUAGGCGGAUUGCUAAGUCAGGGGUGAAAUCCUGGAGCUCAACUCCAGAACUGCCCUUGAUACUGGCGGUCUCGAGUCCGGGAGAGGUGAGUGGAACUGCGAGUGUAGAGGUGAAAUUCGUAGAUAUUCGCAAGAACACCAGUGGCGAAGGCGGCUCACUGGCCCGGUACUGACGCUGAGGUGCGAAAGCGUGGGGAGCAAACAGG